rnacentral:rRNA from 1 species
CGCGUAGGCGGCCAUUCAAGUCGGGGGUGAAAGCCCAGGGCUCAACCCUGGAAUUGCCUUCGAUACUGUUUGGCUAGAGACCGGAAGAGGUAAGUGGAACUGCGAGUGUAGAGGUGAAAUUCGUAGAUAUUCGCAAGAACACCAGUGGCGAAGGCGGCUUACUGGUCCGGUUCUGACGCUGAGGCGCGAAAGCGUGGGGAAGCAAACA